rnacentral:rRNA from 1 species
GACGAACGCUGGCGGCGUGCCUAAUACAUGCAAGUAGAACGCUGAAGAGAGGAGCUUGCUCUUCUUGGAUGAGUUGCGAACGGGUGAGUAACGCGUAGGUAACCUGCCUUGUAGCGGGGGAUAACUAUUGGAAACGAUAGCUAAUACCGCAUAACAAUAGGUGACACAUGUCAUUUAUUUGAAAGGGGCAAUUGCUCCACUACAAGAUGGACCUGCGUUGUAUUAGCUAGUAGGUGAGGUAACGGCUCACCUAGGCGACGAUACAUAGCCGACCUGAGAGGGUGAUCGGCCACACUGGGACUGAGACACGGCCCAGACUCCUACGGGAGGCAGCAGUAGGGAAUCUUCGGCAAUGGGGGCAACCCUGACCGAGCAACGCCGCGUGUGUGAAGAAGGUUUUCGGAUCGUAAAGCUCUGUUGUAGGUCAAGAACGAGUGUGAGAGUGGAAAGUUCACACUGUGACGGUAGCUUACCAGAAAGGGACGGCUAACUACGUG